CAUUUAUCAUGAAACGAUGAAUCUCUUGUAACCUUGUUGCCGUCUAUCGGACAUGAGGGAGAAGCAGCGCUGGUAAUAGGGAUAGAAAUUUCUCUAAAAUUCGAUCACAGACUGCGAUUUCGCUGAGGACCGGUUUAUAUCGCAUAUUGUACCAAAUCUUAUUAAUAAAUUUAGAAUCUCUAAAUGCAUGGAGAAAAGCUGAGGACACUUUACAGAGAUAUGAAAGAAAGGAAAGUGGUUCCUGUAUGUGUUUUUAUGGUUCUUCGAGGCUUAAGGAAACUUCUGUGGAAGAGAUUUUGUUUGAUUCAAAAGUAAAGGAGACAGUUUAUUAACUUUAUAACUUUAAGGCUGUAUUAUCACUUAAGGCCUUUAGUCGAGUUGUUUUAAAAUUUUUGCUUCUUUCGAUAUCAUUGUCUUGCAGCGUGUUCUUGAGGUUUAAAUCAUGUUUAGCGCCCUCUCGCAGUAACGUCAAUUAUAUAUGGUGCUUCAGUAAAACAAUAAACUGGAAAGUUUAAGUUAGGAAGCACAAUUCUUCAGUAAUUUAAUCGUCUAGAAGAAGUCGUCAUACCUGAGAAGAGAUUGCAGUUGUUCAAAACAGAAUUGAUGUCUACACGAUACAUGUCUGUCAGGGUUACCUGAAGACACGUUUGGCACAGCUUGGCCUAAUGAAACUUCUGUGGAAGAGAUUUUGUUUAGUUCGAACCUAAAGGAGGCAGUUAAUUAACUUUACUCCUGAAAAACGUAAUUUAUGUUAAAUUGAAGCGUUUUUUCCUUGCUAAUUAUUCUACCACAAACGUUUUUAUCGUGGCUACGGAGUUAAAUUAAGUAAAUGGCAAUCGAAGGAUUGAUACAGCUUUUAACAGCAAGUAUUUAGUUGAUUUAGCUUUACAAUUCAUGUUUAAACGUGUUGGUUUAUCAAGGGCUAUUCCCAAAUUCGAUCACAGACUGCGGUUUUGCUGGGGACUGGUUUAUAUCGCAUAUUCCACCAAAUGUUAUGAAUAAAUUACCUCCUACUA